UAUUCAAAAGCUCUUAUAAUGAUCCCCUCCUAAGGGACAGGCCACUGGUUCGACUCCAGUCGGGAGCACCA
rnacentral:tRNA from 1 species